UAAUCUUUGGCCUUUUGGGGCACCUCCUUCCCAACAUAAAUAUACAUAUAUAGGGAAUAGGGUGCCAUUUGGGAUGCCAUCUUUGUGUGUGAGUCAGGAUGUGUUUUGUGUCAAUUAAUUGAUGGAAAUGUUUCCCUCAGAAAGAAAGAUGGAUCGUAAUGAUGAGAGAAUAAAAAGAGCUUUAAGACGCCGCCCUUAUGUGUUGAAACCAGUGAGGGUGAACAGCCCUGAUUCCGUGUUGUGGCCAACCGGCAAGGUGCACAGAAGGCCAAAGCCUUCUACUUCAGUGCAGACCCCUCAGAUCCACAAAAGACCUCCAAUCAUUGUGAGCUAUGGGCAGGACCAAACAUCUGGGGAAGGAUGGAGCGUCAAUCCAGAGCCUCUCAGCCAG